AUUGAACGCUGGCGGCAGGCCUAACACAUGCAAGUCGAGCGGAGCGGCGGACGGGUGAGUAAUGCCUAGGAAUCUGACUGGUAGUGGGGGAUAACGUACGGAAACGGGCGCUAAUACCGCCUACAAUCAGAUGAGCCUAGGUCGAAUUAGCUAGUUGGUGGGGUAAAGGCCUACCAAGGCGACGAUCCGUAACGGGUCUGAGAGUAGGAUCAGUAACACUGGAACUGAGACACGGUCCAUACUCCUACGGGAGUGAGCAGUGGGGAAUAUUGGACAAUGUGCGAAAGCCUGAUCCAUCCAUGCCGCGUGUGUGAAGAAGGUCUUCGGAUUGUAAAGCACUUUAAGUUGGGAGGCGUUACCAACAGAAUAAGCACCGGCUAACUUCGUGCCGGCAGCCGCGGUAAUAC
rnacentral:rRNA from 1 species